CCUCCGGGUACAGAACCGCCCCCCUCUCCCCCCCAAUGGGUGUCCAUGCUCGGUGCAGGCUCCGCCUCCGGCGCUUCCCCAUUGGCUGCCGGCGGCUCCAGGGCUGCCCAUUGGCUCCUGGGUCUCCUGUCCCCAUUGGCUGGGGGGUGGUGUCCGUUGAGUGGUCCUUGGUCCUCAUUGGCUGGGGCCUUCCUGGCUUCCCAUUGGUUGGGGGCUGGUGCCCAUUGAGUGUUCCUGGCUCCGGAUUGGCUGGGGGACACCUCCAGCCUCACAUCUCCCCCUAUGGUCCUGCCCCACAUCCCCUAUAGACACCUUCAGCCCCAUAUGUCCCAAUGGUCCAGCCCCAUAUCUCCUUAUAGUUUGGCCCCACAUCCUCCUAUGGCUCAGACCCACAUGUUCCAGCCCCACAUCUUCAUAUGUACACCUCCAGGCCACAUACAUCAAUGUUUCAGCCCCACAUGUUCCAUAGUGCCCCACAUCUAUGGGUCAGCUCCACAUAUUGCAAUAGUUCAGUCCCACAUCUCUCAGUGGGUCAGCCCCACAUAUGUCAAUGUUCCAAAUCCACAUCCUCCUAUGGACACCUUUAGACCAACAUAUCUUAAUGGUUCAGUCUUACAUACAUCAAUGUUCCAGCCCCACAUCUCUCAGUGGUGCAGACCCACAUCUAUGGGUCAGCCCCACAUCUAUGUUCCAUAUCCACAUGUCAAUGUUUCAGCCUUACAUACAUCAAUGUUCCAGCCCCACAUCUCUCUAUGGGUCAACCCCACAUACUGCAAUAGUUCAGACCCACAUCUCUGGGUCAUCCCCACAUGUCCUGCUAUGGGUCAGCCCCACAUCUAUGGGUCAGCCCCCCAAGUGUGACCCACAUCUAUGGGUCAGCCCCACACAUUGCAAUGGGUCAGCCCCACAUGUCCUGCUAUGGGUCAGCCCCACAUCUAUGGGUCAGCCCCAUAGCUCAGCCCCCCAAGUCAGUUGAGGAACCUCCGGCACCUCCUGGCCCCACAGUUACACGGCAGCUUUGCCGCCGGCUCCUCCAACGGGAACUUGUAGUCAUAGGUCAGCUCCUCCCCCCGCAGGAUCCGGCGCAGGGCGAAGAUCACAAUGUGCUUGACGCCCUCGACGUGAAUCACCCGCGAGUAGCAGUUGGGUUCACACGAGUGGUUAAUGAACCUGGCGGCACUGCCGCGAAGGGUGGCGUCAACCACCUCCCCCGCGUCCAUGCGGAACAUGUAGCAGCCCAUGCCCUAGAGAGAACAAUGGGGCAGCUAUGGGGUGAGCUAUGGGGCAGCUAUGGGGUGAGCUAUGGGGCAGCUAUGGGGCUGGAGGUGAUGGGGUUAUGGCGUCAACCACCUCCCCCGCGUCCAUGCGGAACAUGUAGCAGCCCAUGCCCUAGAGAGAACAAUGGGGCAGCUAUGGGGUGAGCUAUGGGGCAGCUAUGGGGUGAGCUAUGGGGCAGCUAUGGGGCUGGAGGUGAUGGGGUUAUGGCGUCAACCACCUCCCCCGCGUCCAUGCGGAACAUGUAGCAGCCCAUGCCCUAGAGAGAACAAUGGGGCAGCUAUGGGGUGAGCUAUGGGGCAGCUAUGGGGUGAGCUAUGGGGCAGCUAUGGGGCUGGAGGUGAUGGGGUUAUGGCGUCAACCACCUCCCCCGCGUCCGUGCGGAACAUGUAGCAGCCCAUGCCCUAGAGAGAACAAUGGGGCAGCUAUGGGGUGAGCUAUGGGGCAGCUAUGGGGUGAGCUAUGGGGCAGCUAUGGGGCUGGAGGUGAUGGGGUUAUGGCGUCAACCACCUCCCCCGCGUCCAUGCGGAACAUGUAGCAGCCCAUGCCCUAGAGAGAACAAUGGGGCAGCUAUGGGGUGAGCUAUGGGGCAGCUAUGGGGCUGGAGGUGAUGGGGUUAUGGCGUCAACCACCUCCCCCGCGUCCAUGCGGAACAUGGAGCAGCCCAUGCCCUAGAGAGAACAAUGGGGCAGCUAUGGGGUGAGCUAUGGGGCAGCUAUGGGGUGAGCUAUGGGGCAGCUAUGGGGCUGGAGGUGAUGGGGUUAUGGCGUCAACCACCUCCCCCGCGUCCGUGCGGAACAUGUAGCAGCCCAUGCCCUAGAGAGAACAAUGGGGCAGCUAUGGGGUGAGCUAUGGGGCAGCUAUGGGGUGAGCUAUGGGUCGCUAUGGGGCAGCUAUGGGGUGAUCUAUGGGGCAGCUAUGGGGCAGCUAUGGGGUGAUCUAUGGGUCGCUAUGGGGCAGCUAUGGGGCAGCUAUGGGGUGAUCUAUGGGUCGCUAUGGGGCAGCUAUGGGGCAGCUAUGGGGUGAGCUAUGGGGCAGCUAUGGGGUGAUCUAUGGGUCGCUAUGGGGCAGCUAUGGGGCAGCUAUGGGCAGCUAUGGGGCAGCUAUGGGGUGAUCUAUGGGUCGCUAUGGGGCAGCUAUGGGUCUCUAUGGGGUGAUCUAUGGGUCGCUAUGGGGCAGCUAUGGGUUGCUAUGGGUCGCUAUGGGGCAGCUAUGGGUCUCUAUGGGGUGAUCUAUGGGUCUCUAUGGGGUGAGCUAUGGGGCAGCUAUGGGGUGAUCUAUGGGGCAGCUAUGGGGCAGCUAUAGGGUGAUCUAUGGGUCGCUAUGGGGCAGACCCACCUUGCUGUCGUAGAACUUCUCCCUCUUGUCCGUGAGCACUGAGCGCACCAGGACUCCUGAGUACUCAAUAACCAUCUCACCAGCCUCAAUGUUCCUCUUGCAGAACAGCCCCCGGCCGUGGAUGGCAGAGCUGGGACCCAUAGAGACACAUAGAGACCCAUUGAUACCCAUUGACACACAUUGAUAACCAUUGACGCCCAUUGAUACCCAUUGACGCCCAUUGAUCCCCAUUGACACCCAUUGAUACCCAUUGACACCCAUUGAUCCCCAUUGACACCCAUUGAUACCCAUUGAUGCCCAUUGACACCCAUUGAUACCCAUUGAUGCCCAUUGACACCCAUUGAUCCCCAUUGACACCCAUUGAUCCCCAUUGACACCCAUUGAUACCCAUAGAGACCCAUUGAUGCCCAUUGAUACCCAUUGACCCCCAUUGACACCCAUUGAUGCCCAUUGACGCCCAUUGACGCCCAUUGAUACCCAUUGAUGCCCAUUGAUCCCCAUUGCCCCCCAUUGACACCCAUUGAUCCCCAUUGAUCCCCAUUGCCCCCCAUUGAUCCCCAUUGAUCCCCAUUGACCCCCUUUGAUCCCCAUUGAUCCCUAUUGAUCCCCAUUGAUACCCAUUGACCCCCAUUGAUCCCCAUUGACUCCCAUUGACACCCAUUGAUACCCAUUGCUCCCCAUUGCCCCCCAUUGAUCCCCAUUGAUCCCAUUGCCCCCCAUUGACCCCCUCUCACCGAUACACUCCCACUGCCUCCUUCGCUGUCCUCUUGAGGUGCCUGAACCUCAUGGCCAUGGGCAGCUCCAGGCUGGCAGCUCGGCUGGGGGGGGCAGGGCACCCAUGGGUGUCCCAUUGACCCCCAUAGCACCCAUGGGUGUCCCAUUGACCCCCAUUCAUCACCCAUGGGUGCUCCAUUGACCCCAUUGACCCCAUAGCCCCCAUGGGUGUCCCAUUGAGCCCAUAGCACCCAUGGGUGCUCCAUUGACCCCCAUUCAUCACCCAUGGGUGUCCCACUGACCCCCAUUCAUCACCUAUGGGUGCUCCAUUGACCCCCCCCAGCACCCAUGGGUGCUCCAUUGACCCCAUAGCAGCCAUGGGUGCCCCACUGACCCCAUGACCCCCCAUGGGUGCCCCACUGACCCCAUAGAACCCAUGUCUGCCCCAUAGCACCCACUGACCCCAUAGCACCCAUGGGUGCCCCAUUGAGCCCCAUUGACCCCCAAGCCCCCAUGGGUGCCCCAUUGACCCCAUAGCACUCAUGGGUGCCCCACUGACCCCAUUGACCCCACAGCACCCAUGGGUGCCCCCUCACCGUGUGGGCUUCAGCUCCUCCUCCUCCUCCUCACGGGGGGGGGGCCCCUCGGGCAGGGGUCGGUGCUGGGAGGCCAAGAAACUGAACAUGUCCAGGGUGCACUUGCUAUGGGGAGAGAUGGGAUCAAUGGGGUCAAUGGGGUCAAUGGGGGUCAAUGGGAUCAAUAGGGAUCAAUGGGGUCAAUGGGGAUCAAUGGGGGUCAAUGGGGAUCAAUGGGGUCAAUGGGGCACCCAUGGGUGCUGGUACAAUGGCGGUUGGAUGGAGGGAGAAAGACACCCAUUGACAACCAUUGAUACCCAUUCAUGCCCAUUGACACACAUAGACCCCCACUGAGUCUCAUUGAUGCUCAUUGACACCCAUUCACCCCCAUUGAUUCCCAUUCAACUCAACUGACUCCCACUGACCCGCAUUACCCCUAUUCCCCCCAUUACCCCCAUUCCCCCCAUAGAUCCCCAUUACCCCAUUAUCCCCAUUACCCCUAUUGCCCCCCAUAGAUACCCAUUGAUCCCCACUGACCCCCAUUGACACCCAUUGAUCCCAUUGAUCCCAUUACCGCAGGUACAGCUCAGCCCGUGCACAGCCGGACGGGUUAUGGGGGGGGCUGUGGGGUGGCCGCGGGUGGUUCCCCCAUUACCCCCAUUGAUCCCCAUUCACUCCCAUUCACACCCAUAGAUCCCCAUUGAUCCCCAUUGAUCCCAUUGCCCCCCAUUGAUCCCAUUGACCCCCAUUACCGCAGAUAGAGCUCAGCUCGGGCACACCCAGACGGGUUAUGGGGGGGGCUGUGGGGCGGCCGCGGGUGGUUCCCCCAUUACCCCAUCACCCCCAUCACCCCCAUUGAUCCCCAUUGAUCCCCAUUCAAUCCCAUUGAUCCCCAUUACCCCCAUUGAUCCCUAUUGAUCCCAUUACCGCAGGUACAGCUCAGCUCUCGCACACCCGGACGGGUUAUGGGGGGGGCUGUGGGGUGGCCGCGGGUGGUACCGGAACCGGUACCGGGAACAGGCUCCGGCUCCAGGAAGCUGCUCCAGCAGGAACACGACAGCAUCAUGGUGCAUGCCCAGGGCACGCUCACCUGACAUACCUGACAUAGAGACAUUGAUAACCAUUGAUCACCUAUUGGUACCCACUGAUCACCCAUUGAUAACCAUUGAGAGACAUUGAUAACCAUUGACAUCCAUUGAUCACCCACUGACACCCAUUGAUGCCCAGAGCACGCUCACCUGACAUACCUGAUACAUGGGAGAGUCAUUGAUCAGCAUUGAUCACCUAUUGGUAACCUAUUGGGAACCAUUGGUACCCAUUGAGAGCCAUUGAUCACCUAUUGAUAACCAUUGACAACCAUUGAUGCCCAGGGCACACUCACCUGACAUACCUGACAUAGAGAACCAUUGAUCAUCAUUGAUCAUCAUUGAUCACCUAUUGGUAACCAUUGACAUCCAUUGAUAACCAUUGAUCACCCAUUGAUAACCCAUUGGUACCCAUUGAUCACCCAUUGAUACCCAUUGACAACCAUUGAUGCCCAGGGCGCGCUCACCUGACAUACCUGACAGUGAGAGAGUCAUUGAUCACCUAUUGACAGCCAUUGAUCACUAUUGGUACCCAUUGGUACCCAUUGACAUCCAUUGAUAACCAUUGAUAACCAGUGAUCACCCAUUGGGAACCAUUGGUACCCAUGGAUAACCUAUUGAUAACCA
ensembl:lncRNA